GUCUGACGUAACUCAGUUGGUAGAGCGUCGAUCUAGUAUAAUUCGAAGGUCGCGGGUUCAAGACCCAGCCGCGGCAGACA